AUUGAACGCUGGCGGUAUGCUUAACACAUGCAAGUCGAACGGUAACAGGCCUUCGGGCGCUGACGAGUGGCGGACGGGUGAGUAACGCGUAGGAAUCUGCCUCAUAGUGGGGGACAACGUGGGGAAACUCACGCUAAUACCGCAUACGCCCUACGGGGGAAAGCGGGGAUCUUCGGACCUCGCGCUAUGAGAUGAGCCUGCGUUAGAUUAGCUAGUUGGUAGGGUAAAGGCCUACCAAGGCGACGAUCUAUAGCUGGUCUGAGAGGACGAUCAGCCACACUGGGACUGAGACACGGCCCAGACUCCUACGGGAGGCAGCAGUGGGGAAUAUUGGACAAUGGGCGCAAGCCUGAUCCAGCAAUGCCGCGUGGAUGAAGAAGGUCUUCGGAUUGUAAAGUCCUUUCGGCGGGGACGAUGAUGACGGUACCCGCAGAAGAAGCCCCGGCUAACUUCGUGCCAGCAGCCGCGGUAAU
rnacentral:rRNA from 1 species